CCUACGGGUGGCUGCAGUGGGGAAUAUUGGGCAAUGGGCGCAAGCCUGACCCAGCUAUGCCGCGUGAAUGAUGAAGGCCUUCGGGUCGUAAAGUUCUUUUAGGUGGGAAGAUGAUGACGGUACCACCAGAAAAAGCUCCGGCUAACUUCGUGCCAGCAGCCGCGGUAAUACGAAGGGAGCAAGCGUUGCUCGGAUUUAUUGGGCGUAAAGGGUGUGUAGGCGGUUUUGUAAGUUAGAUGUGAAAGCCCAGGGCUUAACCCUGGAAUUGCAUUUAA
rnacentral:rRNA from 1 species